UACGAAGGGGGGCUAGCGUUGCUUGGAAUCACUGGGCGUAAAGGGUGCGUAGGCGGGUCUUUAAGUCAGGGGUGAAAUCCUGGAGCUCAACUCCAGAACUGCCUUUGAUACUGAGGAUCUUGAGUUCGGGAGAGGUGAGUGGAACUGCGAGUGUAGAGGUGAAAUUCGUAGAUAUUCGCAAGAACACCAGUGGCGAAGGCGGCUCACUGGCCCGAUACUGACGCUGAGGCACGAAAGCGUGGGGAGCAAACAGG
rnacentral:rRNA from 1 species